UUAAUUGAAACCAAAAAGAGGUUUAUCACUGUUAAUGAUACUAAUGAAUAAAAAUUCCAAUUAAA
rnacentral:tRNA from 1 species